GUUUUAUAGUCAAUAAUGAUAUCAGAUUGCAAGUUUGAAGGUGGGGUAAUAGCCCUAAGGCUU
rnacentral:tRNA from 1 species